rnacentral:rRNA from 1 species
GACGAAGGGGGCUAGCGUUGUUCGGAAUUACUGGGCGUAAAGCGCGUGUAGGCGGUUGUCCAAGUUGGAUGUGAAAGCCUUGAGCUUAACUCAAGAAAUGCAUUCAGGACUGGAUGACUAGAGGACCGGAGAGGAUAGUGGAAUUCCCAGUGUAGUGGUGAAAUACGUAGAGAUUGGGAAGAACACCGGUGGUGUAGACGGCUUUCUGGACCGUAACUGACGCUGAGACACGAAAGCGUGGGUAGCAAACAGG